rnacentral:rRNA from 1 species
UACGUAGGUGGCAAGCGUUGUCCGGAUUUAUUGGGCGUAAAGCGAGCGCAGGCGGUUUCCUAAGUCUGAUGUGAAAGCCCCCGGCUCAACCGGGGAGGGUCAUUGGAAACUGGGAGACUUGAGUGCAGAAGAGGAGAGUGGAAUUCCAUGUGUAGCGGUGAAAUGCGUAGAUAUAUGGAGGAACACCAGUGGCGAAGGCGGCUCUCUGGUCUGUAACUGACGCUGAGGCUCGAAAGCGUGGGGAGCGAACAGG